UACAGAGGUGGCAAGCGUUGUUCGGAAUUACUGGGCGUAAAGGGCGCGUAGGCGGCCUUGUAAGUCCUGUGUGAAAUCCCCCGGCUCAACUGGGGAACUGCACAGGAGACUGCUUGGCUUGAGUUCGGGAGAGGGAAGCGGAAUUCCGGGUGUAGCGGUGAAUGCGUAGAAUAUCCGGAGGAACACCGGUGGCGAAGGCGGCUUCCUGGAC
rnacentral:rRNA from 1 species